CAUUAAAUCAUAGGCAAUUGUAUACAACUGUUAUUUUCAAGGAAGCUGUCUUAUUAUUUUCUACCUUAUGUACAGAAUGAAAGGAGAAAUAAUGAAUUAAGCAGAAUAUAAUGAAUGUAGCCAGGGUUGACUCCACUGACAGUGUAUUUUAUUGCAUUUCUGAUUCUUAAAUUCCUGCAUUAUAGAAUUUUAUGAUAACUUCUAUCCAUUUCAUUACAAUAAUUAACAAUUCUAUAAUAUGAAUCAUAUAACUGCUACUGUUGCUGCAGAAAUCAUUUUUCACUUGGUGUAAUGAUUUUUCCCAAAUCUUCCACAAGGUUGCAAGCAAGAUAAGUGCUAGGGCCUUAGGGUGCUUUUUUGAUAAAGAAUAAGAAGAGAAAUAAUCUAGGAGAGAGACCACAUGGUAGAAUGACACCAUUCCAAUCCAUUUAAAGAUCAAAUACCAAAUUUCCGCUACCAAGUUACAUCGACAAAACAAGUGAUCCUCCACCUCUCGUUUCCUCGGACACCACACACAAUCCGAUCUAACACCAUCCACUAACACUCCUCUUCUAGAUAAAUUUGAGCAAGUCGGGAGUUUACCAGGAAUUACUUGCCAAGAGAAAAUUUAUUAUCGUAUGGUUGUAAGCAAACCGACACUUUUCCUUACCAAUGAGGAAAG
rnacentral:lncRNA from 1 species